GAUGAAGAACGCAGCGAAACGCGAUAUGUAAUGUGAAUUGCAGAAUUCAGUGAAUCAUCGAAUCUUUGAACGCACAUGGCGCCUUCCAGUAUCCUGGGAGGCAUGCCUGUCCGAGCGUCGUUUCAACCCUCGAGCCCCCGUGGCCCGGCGUUGGGGAUCUGCCCAGGCAGUCCCCGAAAACCAGUGGCGGACCCGUUACAGGCCCUUCCCUUGCGUAGUAGCAUUCGCCUCGCAUCGGGAGCCGGCGGGCUUCCAGCCUCUAAACCCCCAUCAAGUCCGCCCCGGCGGCACCAAGGUUGACCUCGGAUCAGGUAGGGAUACCCGCUGAACUUAAGCAUAUCAAUAAGCGGAGGA
rnacentral:misc_RNA from 1 species